AAGGUUGUGGUUGGUGAGCCUUUGGGAAAACCAACUGGGUUGAUUGUGAAUCCGGAAAACAAUCGUUGUAAGGUUGUGGUUGGUGAGCCUUUGGAAAAACCAACUGGGUUGGAUUGUGAGCCCGUGAAAACAAUCGGUUGGUUCUAUUCGAUGAGCCUGUGAAAACCGACUGAGUUUGUUGUGAUCUCGCAAAACAACAAGUUGGGUUGUGAGCUUGUAAAACAACCGACUGUAAUCUGAGGGAUUAUAGUGAAAUUUCCAAGAGGUCUUGGGGAGUGGAUGUAGGUGCUGGGGUGCACCGAACCACUAUACAUCUUUGUGUUUGUGAUACCUUAUCUCUUGUAUUUCAUGCCUUACAUUCAUGCUUGAUUGUGUAAUAUCUCUAGCUUUGUUUUCUAUAGAGUUAUAAGUGAUUGUUUAGAAUUUGCUUAGCUUCCACUCCAUUCUUACCAUACACAUAGAUUAAAAUUGAUCAUACAACUAUAAGUUAAUUUUAGAUCAAUUGCACCCUAAAG
rnacentral:lncRNA from 1 species